rnacentral:rRNA from 1 species
AGUGAACGCUGGCGGUAGGCCUAACACAUGCAAGUCGAACGGCAGCACAGUAAGAGCUUGCUCUUACGGGUGGCGAGUGGCGGACGGGUGAGGAAUACAUCGGAAUCUACUUUUUCGUGGGGGAUAACGUAGGGAAACUUACGCUAAUACCGCAUACGACCUACGGGUUAAAUCAGUGGAUCUUCGGACCUUUCGCGAUUGAAUGAGCCGAUGUCGGAUUAGCUAGUUGGCGGGGUAAGGCCCACCAAGGCGACGACCCGUAUCUGGACUGAGAGGAUGAUCAGCCACACUGGAACUGAGACACGGUCCAGACUCCUAAGGGAGGCAGCAGUGGGGAAUAUUGGACAAUGGGCGCAAGCCUGAUCCAGCCAUACCGCGUGGGUGAAGAAGGGCUUCGGGUUGUAAAGCCCUUUUGUUGGGAAAGAAAAGCAGCAGGUUAAUACCCCGCUGUUCUGACGGUACCCAAAGAAUAAGCACCGGCUAACUUCGUG